GGCGGUGCUGCGGCGAAUAUCCUGCUGACCGUCGGCCCGGUGCCCAUCACAGUUGUCGCCGGCGGUUCUGCUGUCGGGGAGGUGGUCUAAAGCCGUGUGAAGAGCCAUGGAGAUUGCGUCUGCCGUUGACCUAUUGUGACGACAGGCAAAUUGCAGUGGGUCCAGGUCCUUGCAGAGGCGGGAGUUCAUUUCAGUCAUAACCAACCUCCCAAAGCAUUUCCUCACUGUCGAUUUAGACCUGUGGUGAGAGAUUUAUUGGAAGAAAAACCCCAACUGGAAGCAAACCACGACUGAAGACGAGGGAACAGCAACAAGUGAACCAGCCCGAGGAUUGAGAGCAUCAACUGGAGAGGACCCAUCUGACUCGGAGAAUCCAGUGAUUCCGUCAGGAGAAAGUUUGAAUGCUGAAUGAAGUGACAAGUAUCCCCGGCACUUAUUUUCAUUGAAAAGUUAUUGCCAUUCCGUCGUUGUGGUGGCUGGGUCGAAAUCCUGGAACGCCAACGCCAUCCCCAUCAGGAGUGCAGAGAUCCUUAACCAGAAGAAGUGCAGUUGUUCCGGAUGCAUUCACUGUCACUUCCUUUGCGGCAAUGGUGGAUGUGCCGUAAAAUCUGGCAUUGGUAAUGAAGUGUGGAUUCUGAAAAGUCAAUAACUGAAGACAGCAUUAUAGACUGCUACAGCACAGUGCAGGUCGUUCGGGCUAACCACUCCCUCCUAAAUCACCCUCUACUUUUCUAAAAUCUAUGUGCCUAUCUAAAAAUCCCUUUCAUGUCCCCAAUGUAUCUGCCUUUACCACCACCCUGGCAGUCAGUGUGUUCCACGCACCACUCUCUGUGCUUAAAAACAAUCUUACACCUGAUGUCCCCCUGUACUUUUCUCCGGUCACCUUAAAGUGAUGCCCUCUCGUAUCAGCCAUUUCUGCACUGGGAGGAAAGGUCUCUGGCUGUCCUUCUUGCGAGCCUUCAAGUGUAACUGAAGAUGACUUCAGCUUGUGAUGAUGCGUUCCCCUUUUCAGCAUCAUGCGUGAUUGUGCAGGAUGAUGGCAGUUCCAUUUAUGCAAGAUUGGGAUCUGCUGCAGACUUUGGGUGAAGGAGCAUAUGUUAGACCUGCGGUGAGAGAUUUAUUGGAAGAAAAACCCCAACUGGAAGCAAACCACGACUGAAGACGAGGGAACAGCAACAAGUGAACCAGCCCGAGGAUUGAGAGCAUCAACUGGAGAGAACCCAUCUGACUCGGAGAAUCCAGUGAUUCAGUCAGGAGAAAGUUUGAACUGCGGCGUCUGCCGGUCACUGCUCUACGUGUCCGUGUAGCUUCAUCUUUCGCCCAUUCAGACAAGGCAGUGAGAUCCGGAUCUGUCACGUCCUCUCGUUGUGGGUGAACAAUAUGUUUUUAUCUGCAAUAUUUUCAUCAUGUUUCAUUCCACUGGUUUUACCUGCGGAAGUGCAGCCAAUGUUUCUGGGUGUAUGACCCAUUUAUGUGAGAAUUUUGCCUUUUCUAUUUAUCUGAGCUUCUCAUAAAUGUGUACAGUUUAGUUAAGCUUCACUCCAGAAUUUCCAAGGCAACAACCCAGUCAGUCAAAUAGUUCCACACAAUUAAAAUAGUUUAUUACGUCUUUUAUUUUUUAAAAUUUUGUAUUAUAAAGUUUGUACUUACGUAAUUUAACUAUUUAAUAUGUAUAUUCUUAUUUUAUAUCACAAAUGUUAAAAUCUAUUGUUAUGAAUUAGGUUCUACUGCUGCCGCAGAGACAACAAAUUUCAUGACAUAUGCCGGUGCUAUUAAACCUGAUUCUGAUAAUCGGUGUGGGGGACCCACUACUGGUCACCUGAUCCCAGUUACUGCAGAUCGUAAAGCGAGAUUGAAGCCUUUUCUAUUUGUUUGCAUUCUUCAGAAAUGACAAUAGUUCAGUUAAGUUUCCUUCCGAGGUUCAAAAGCAGAAGCUCAGUCUGACUAAUAUUUGCACACAAUUAAAAUGGAGAAUUUGUUUGUUAUCAUCACGUACUGAGCUACAAUGAAAAUCUUGCCUGACGUACCAUCCACACAGAUCUACACGUUACAACAGUACAUUGAGCUGAUAUACGACAAAACAAUAACUGUAACAAAGCAUUAUGGCUGCAGAGAAAGUGCAGUGCAGAUAGACAUAUGGUGCAGGGUCACGUCGAGUUACAUUGUGAGGUCGAGUCCAUUUUAUCGAACUGGAGACCAUUCAUUUGGCUUAUAGCCACAGACAGGAAGCCGUCCUUAAGCCCGGUGUUACGUGCUCUAAGGCUUUUGUAUCUCUUCCCCGAUGGGGGAGCGGGUUUGCAGCAAGAAUGUCCGGGUUGUGAGGAUCUUUGUGUACAUGGCCUGCUUUUCCGACGCAGGGGGAGUGUAGGAAGAGUCCAUGGAGGGGAGGCUCGUUUCUCUGAUGUUCUCUGCUCUCCAAAGCUCUCUGCAGUUCCUUGCAGUCAUGGGCAGAGCAGUAGCCCUACGAAGGCGUGAAGUAUCGACAAGAAGCUCAGAGACCUCGGCCUUCACCCUGCCGUGUGUAGCUGGAUCCUGGACUUCCUGUCAGAUCGCCGGCAGGUGGUAAGAGUGGGCUCCCUCACCUCUGUCUCUCUGACCCUCAGCACACAUACUCCACAGGGUUGUCUCCUUGGCCCCCUCCUUUACUCUCUUUAUACCCAUGACUUGUGUCAUCACCCAUAGCUCCAAUCUACUAAUUAAAUUUGCUAACGACAUUACAUUGAUUGGCCUCAUCUCAAAUAACAACUUUCAAUCGAUCAAAUGCCUCCUGACAAGGCUCAGUCCAAACAAGGCUCAGUCUUUCACCCUUCUUCGGGAGAUUAGUCAGAGGAAGAGCAAUUUCAGCAAAGUUCUUACAGAACUUACGAUAAUAUCCAACCAUUCCCAGAAACCUUCUAAGAGCCUUCUUACCAGUCAGAAUAGGAACUUCAGAAAUUGCCUGGACUUUCGCCUGAACAAGAGCCAACUUGCCUUGACCUACAACACAGCCAAGGUAGAUCACAGUGGUAUGGACAAGUUCACUCUUAGCCAAGGCUAUAUCCACACUAGACCGGAUAAAUCCGUAACAGAAGCUUUUUCUCUUUGUUUUGACCCUCCGUCCACAUUGAAACGGCACUUUCCUCCCCCGGAAAUGCAGCUUUUCAGAAACGCACUCCAGAGUGAAUAAAUCUGAAAACACCUAAUAUCCACUGUACUGUGUACGGGGUAACCGGCUAUUUUGAAAACCUCUGUCAUGACAUGCCCGAACAAAUGGUGGCAUCAGUGCUGUAUUUCAUUGUUUUCUUGAACGCAACCUCCAACUCCACCACAAUAUCUGACAAUAGAUGUGUAACAGCCUAAUGUAACAUUGUAUGGAAAAACAAGGUAACACUGAUGCAGACAUGUUUUACACAUUUAACAAGGUGCUUUAUUAAUGUAUUGCUUGUGCAAACAUUCAAUAGGUGCACUUGUCACUUGUGCCCAGUAACUUGUUUUAUUGCACAUGUUAAACACAGCAAAAUAAUACACAAAGACAUGGCAAAAGUAAAGGCAAACAAAUGAGGUAACAGCAAAUUUCACUUUUGCCCAGUAACAAGCCUUAUUGCAUUUAGUUGUAGCUGUCGUCCCUUUCAGUGGUGAAGAAACUAUGGCUGUAGGAUAUAUUGCUGGACAAACUUGCACCAAGUCUUUCAUUUGGCAACUUCCUUUUAAGUUUUUCUGGUCUGUAACUGGACAAAUGCGCACCAAGUAUACCAUUUCCUCUUCGCUUGUUUUCUGUACAUGUGUCCUGCGCAUGUCCAGUAGGAAGAGAUUUGCCCAAAUAUCCAUUUUAAUGUGGACUGAGAUAGUUUCAAAAACGCCUGGUGUGGAUGCCUAUCGUUUUUAUGCAAAACCGGUGUUUUCAAAAUUAUC